AUUUGGCGGACGGGUGAGUAACGCGUGGGAAUCUACCUUUUGCUACGGAACAACAGUUGGAAACGACUGCUAAUACCGUAUGUGCCCUUCGGGGGAAAGAUUUAUCGGCAAAGGAUGAGCCCGCGUUGGAUUAGCUAGUUGGUGAGGUAAAGGCUCACCAAGGCGACGAUCCAUAGCUGGUUUGAGAGGACGACCAGCCACACUGGGACUGAGACACGGCCCAGACUCCUACGGGAGGCAGCAGUGGGGAAUAUUGGACAAUGGGGGAAACCCUGAUCCAGCCAUGCCGCGUGUGUGAAGAAGGCCUUUUGGUUGUAAAGCACUUUAAGCAGUGAAGAAGACUCCGUGGUUAAUACCCACGGACGAUGACAUUAGCUGCAGAAUAAGCACCGGCUAACUCUGUGCCAGCAGCCGCGGUAAUAAU
rnacentral:rRNA from 1 species